rnacentral:lncRNA from 1 species
CGUAAUUUGACAUCACAAAAUUUACAAUUUUUAAACUGCUAUCUCGAUCCUGGCUGAUUCCAAGAUGCCCCUUGCGAUGCAUCCCAAUCAAAGGGCUGGAAAUAUCAAGCAAGAAAGGGUGCAAUUUUCAUCUGAGCUUGUUGCCAAAUUUCCUCACGAAUACGAGGACAAGGAAGAGGACGAUUCGUCAGAUGACACGUACCUUUGUAUGCCCCUAACCCACUGGGACUUUUCCUCACCAUACCAAUAGGUCCAUUUUCAAUAACUUAUUACUUGUACCUGCUGUAUACUCGACUUUUGAAACUUUAUGACUGGUUCUUUACAAAAGAGCUCGUGGAUUUCUAUCGGGGGUACAAAUAUCGCUUCGUAAAGCAGUCAAAGAAAUGGAUCAUGAGCUGGCAGUUAAUAAAUUUUACCGUGUCUGCUAUAAAGGAUCUCAAGCCUAAGGAUUUUCUCGCUCAAAAACUUGAUAAUUUUGUUACGUCCCGAAUCCGUUUGCGACAUCGAAUAUUUGACUUUCUCAGCAAUAUCAGCUACGUCGGAAUAGGUUUGGACUUGCGUGGACGGCUGUGGUUCCACAAUAAGACAACAAGACGGAAUAAGACUGGAGAUGUGAUUUCGAUGCUGUGGAACAAGGAUGAUUUACGAAUGGGUUUCAUUGAGUAUUGGAUCCAUAAACUAUUAAAUCAACCGCUGAGACCGGGUGGCGCUUUGUGGGAACGGUUUGAGAUGUUCCGGAUUUUCUACAAUAAAAGUUACGAGCCUAAAGAACUGUUUCAGCGCAUGGGCGUUUUUGUGAACAAUCUUCAAGUCAUCGCCUCACUUAACAGGAGAGAAACAGGGACUGCAAUUUACGGUUUGUCGCAGUACUCCGAUAGAACUGUUGAAGAAUUCGCUCAAAUAUUGGCGCUUACAACUCAACUGCUGACGAUACAAAUGAGUACAUAA